ACCAGUUGUUCUGCCAAGGGCAUGGCUGGGUAGCUACGUGCGGACGAGAUAAACGCUGAAGGCAUCUAAGCGUGAAACUUCCCUCGAGAUAAGUAUUCCCAUCCUUCGGGAGUAAGGCCCCACGUAGACUAUGUGGUUGAUAGGUCAGAAGUGGAAGCGUGGUAACACGUGCAGCGGACUGAUACUAAUAGGCCGAGGGCUUGACCUA
rnacentral:rRNA from 1 species